rnacentral:lncRNA from 1 species
GACACCUAAGAGUUUGUAUGAAGUUUGUUUCUGGUUAUUACACUGCAGAUAUUUUAAAGUAAUAUUUUAUCAUUUUUUCUGCAGGGGGAAGCCAAGUUAAAGAAUUAUUGAGGACUAUCACUGUAUAAGGAUUCCCCCUCUCUCCUGGAUUUGCAUUCGACUGUGACGCAACAUCACAGGUGCAGCUCACAGACUACAACCUGCUGGAAACAAGAACAUUUUGAGUCUCAUUUUGUUGAAGUCUCAGUCCAGUUUUUUUCAUUCUGGCACACCAGCAAUGUAAUAGUGUUCUGAAUUUGAUAUUAUCUGCCUUUGUUUGCAGGGAAUUGGUCUGCGAGACACCACUGAAUCAAAUGGAUACUGAAGUAAAACUAAAAUGGAGUAAGUUUUGAAGCUUUGGGGGGC